AUGGCGGCGGCCGGAAGCGGAAGCAGCGUAGUCUCCAUGGCGGCGGCCGGCGGUCCCGCGUUGUGGCGGCGGCUCUUGGGCCUGCUUCCUCACGGGAGGCUGGGCCUGGCCGCGCUGCUCGGGCGCCUCUCGGACCGUCUGUCCCUCGGCCGGGACCGGCGCUCCCGGAGAUCAUCAUGGCUGCUGCUGGCCCCAUUGCUCACCCCUGUGGUUCCUCAGGUCACAGCCCCAUCAUUCUGCGUUUGUCCCGAGGGUGCGCACAGGUUCCAGUGGAUCAGGAACCUGGUUCCAGAGUUUGCGGUCUCCAGCUCUCGCAUCCGGGUGCUCUCAUCCCCAACUGAAUUCUAUGAACUCAUGAAGGAACAGAUAAAGGCAGCCAAGCAGCGAGUAGUGGUGGCUUCGCUGUACCUCGGAACAGGACUCCUAGAACAGGAGCUGGUGGAUUGCAUAGAAGAAACCCUGGAGAGGUCACUGCAGGCAAGUGGGCCCUCGGACUUCAGAGUUUCCAUUCUCCUAGAUUUCACAAGGGGAUCUCGAGGCAGAAAGAACUCUCGAACCAUGUUACUUCCACUGCUGAGAAGGUUUCCAGAGCAAGUCCGUGUAUCCCUCUUCCACACUCCAAAUCUGCGUGGGCUUCUCAAAUGCUUAAUCCCUGAGCGUUUCAACGAAACCAUCGGGCUGCAGCACAUCAAGGUUUACCUCUUUGAUGAUAACGUGAUCCUGAGUGGUGCAAACUUGAGUGACUCGUACUUCACCAAUCGGCAGGACCGCUAUGUGUUCCUACAGGACUCUCACGAGAUCGCAGAUUUCUUCACUGAACUAGUGGAUGCAAUUGGAGAUGUGUCGCUGCACUUACAGCCAGAUGAUACAGUCCAGAUGAUGGAGGGGAUGGUGCAUCCUUACCAAGGAGACAAGACGACAUAUUGUGAAGUGGCAAAUAGGAGAGUAAUGGAAGUGAUCAACGCUGCCAGGACACGACAAAAACUCCACACGCAGACUUUUCAUGGGAGGAGAUCAGAAGGAGAUCCGUUAUUGCCCCAGCAAAACCCUGAUGCAGGAGGGGACCAAAAAACAGAACCGGACACCUGGAUUUAUCCACUAAUUCAAAUGAAACCCUUUGGGAUUCAAAUAGACGAGAUAGUCACAGAGACGUUGCUGACAGAGGCAGAGCGAGGUGCCAGAAUACACCUCACCACUGGUUACUUCAACCUCACGCAAGCCUACAUGGAUCUCGUUCUGAGCACCAGAGCAGAGUAUCAGAUUUUGCUGGCCUCACCGGAGGUGAAUGGGUUCUUUGGUGCCAAAGGGGUGGCAGGUGCCAUUCCUGCUGCCUAUGUUUACAUUGAGCAUCAGUUUUACAGCGAGGUGUGCUGCCUUGGCCAGCAAGACAGGGUCCAACUGCGGGAGUACUACAGGAACGGAUGGACUUUCCACGCUAAAGGCCUCUGGCUGUACCUGGCAGGAAGCAGUCUGCCCUGCCUGACUCUGAUUGGCUCUCCUAAUUUUGGGUACAGGUCGGUUCAUCGGGACCUGGAAGCUCAGGUUGCAAUAGUGACAGAAAAUCGUGACCUGCAGCAGCAGCUCCAUCAGGAGCAGGAGCAGCUUUAUCUCAAGUCAGGUGUCGUGUCGUUGUCUACAUUUGAACAGCCAACCCGCUACGUAAAGCUGUGGGUGAAGCUGGUAACGCCUCUGAUUAAGAACUUCUUUUGAAAGGAGAAAGGAUCCUCCUCUGGGUUCUGUAAGGCGGUGCUCUUAUCUCACAUACAUCCCCAAGAGAGCCACAGCCUUUUGACAGCUGCAGUGAACUGUGGAGCUCUCAUAGAAGAGAAGAGCCUUUCCUCACCUUGUAAUCCAAGUUGGGUGGAACUAAAAACCCUGGAGCCAAGGUCAUUUCUCCCUCCAGCAUCUCCACGCGGAUGUAUUCUGACAGGGCCCCUCGCUGGAUUCGCUCACAGCCUGCUGCCAACCCAGCACACCGCACCUGCAGGCUUAGGACCACGUUAGAGCUCUGUUUUCAGACAAAGGCUGCCUCACACUACUCACUGAAGGAGUGACACUGGCUCUCUACAGCACGUGCCCACUGAAGCCAAUGGGAGGUCCCUGUCUGGAGCAAAGGCAUACAGUGCAGCGGAGAGCUACUGCGUGGCUGUGUGUAUCUACUGGGCAACAUCCGUAACUCAGGUGCCAGGCAAAUAACCAUGAACGAUGUUGAUUUUAACGCUGAUACUUUCACAAACAAAAGGGACGUUAGCCGCUGCUCAGUAACACCUCUAAGCCUGGCUUCUUAGCUUUAAAAUGAUACCAACCUGAAGAUGCCUUUCCAAGUGAUGCUGGAUUACACAGUGCUGCAUAACUGACUGCUUCUCAUGCCACCUUCUGCUAUGGUGGCUACUUUGGUGAUUAGAAAACCUCUAAUGAAAUAAUCAGCUAAUCAACAUUAUUUUUAGAUAAAUAUUCCAAUAACGUGACUGUUUUUGAGCAUUUUUAAGAGCUACAACUCCCAAGGGUGUUAGUUUAACCAAUAAUUUCCAGCAUUAUCAAACUUAUCCUGUCUCCUGUUUCAACCUGCAUAUUACUGGCCUCACAAUUGUGUGGCCUGGUUUACGGACUUCCAUGGUGCAACGUCUUAGGCUAUUCUAUGUAGUGUUUACAACAGAAGAAUUUGUACAGUGUUACAUUCUUCAGACACACCUUAAUUCCUCCCCAUCCUUGAGAUUGUAAGAAAUCCACGGGGGACGUCAGUCCAGCCUUGAACGGAAAGCGCAAAAGAAAGUCCAGUUCAACCGGGUUCACUUCUUUCUUCAUUAACAAAACCUGAUGAGAAAGCAGAGAUUACAAUGCACAAGGUUACAUAACCCAUUUCUGAACAGCUGAACUGCUCUGUGUCACAAGCCCUAUGCUCACACGUGCUGGGAAAAUAGACAUUGCAGAAGUGGUACAGACACACGGGCUCCCGGAGGAAUGGGCUGGACCCCUCAGGCUCUGGCGUUGGAACUCUUUGGGGGCAGGGCCAUGUUUACUAUGUUUGUACAGAGUCUCGCACAAUGGGGCAGGGACCUGUCUGGCCUCUCGGUGCGAUGCCACUGUAAAUGUUACAAAAUGCAUAACAGCAGCAGCACUGGAGAAGGCUUUUGCCCACCAAGACAAGCCCACCGGGACCAAUGAUGGGCCCACAAUGAAGGGAGGAACCCCUGUGGCUUUGUCUGCACUAGCAUUCCAUUGGGAUCAUUACUGCCAGGCUGGGUCUGUCACCUUCCUGCUUCUGCCCCGCUAUUCUACCCAGUGCAGCCAUAAGGGUCACCCCUUUCCUGUUGCUCUGACCAGAACAGCCCCCUCCCACCUGCCCCAGUCUCCUCCUCUUUGCUUCACCCUCACACACACUUGGAGCAGCCCACCAAGCACUCUCCCCAUCUCCAACUCACUUCUCCCAGGAACAGUUGCUACCUUGUGUUCUCCCACAGCAUCUCAACUCUGCCCCUCCCCACAUGUGCAGGCCCAAUCCUGCCCAUGCUGACUACAGGACUCAGCGCUCACUUACCUGACUAGCUCUCUGGAGAGCAAUGGGAUUACUCCACUAUUGAGCAUUCCCUUGAGAUGAAACCCGGGCCCCACUGAAGUCAGUAGGCAUUUUGCCAUUCUCUUCAGUGGGACCCGAGUGCCACACAAGGGCUUGAUGCAGGAAUCACUAUGGCUCAAUCAUAACAGUCCCUUCUGCUCUCACCAAGUGUUGGUAGAACUGGGGCCCUGGGUUCAAUGCAGUUGAACACAUUCUCAGGCAUCCUAGAGGAUACAGGCCUUAGGGCCUGAACCAAAGUCCACUGAAGCCUGGGGGAAUCUUCCACUGACUUCAGUGGAUUUUGGCUCAAACUUUAAGAUGUAAAUUCUUUGGGUGAGAGCAUGUCUGACUGAGCCAUGAUUGUAAAACAGGGUGCAUUUACACACCAUCUAGAAGAUUAUUAUUAAGGCUACGAUUUUGGCAUGGAGCUCACAGUGUUCAUGGCAAUUGGAAUUUUAAUAAAGUCUGUGACCCUUGCAAUGAUGGCUCUUGCGGGCCUGUCUCUCUGCUCUGGAAGUGGAGAGCUAGGCCAUGUGGUCAGAGUGCCACGGGAGUUUAGUAUCUCCACCCUUCCAUAGCUGGAGAUGGAGGGGCGGAUGGGCCAAGUUUGAUUGGUGUGGUGACGUAGCACAAGGGGUCACAACGCCCAGAGUGAGGAGCUGGACCCAGCCCUGUGGGACAGGAACUGCCAGGGCAGGUGGGCUCACACUCCAAAACCCCUCCCCACAGGCCAUGACACUUCUCUGACUAUAAGUUUUUUCCCUGCAGCUCUGACAUAAAUGUUUGCAUGACAAAAUUAUAUGAAUAAUAAUUAAGGCUAAUAUGCGGGGGACACAUGCUUUGCCCCAGGAAUAAGAGACCACCGUGUAUUACAUAUCUGAAAAGUUGUAUUAGCUAGUAAUUUUAACUGGAGUCCAGUGUGUUUAUCCAUAUUACCUGAAAGGCAACUUGGGCCAUGAAAAUGAGUUUGUCUCUCUCAAAGAGUCCCCGUGCAGUGUACACAAAGACCGAGUAGGUGAUCUCAUCUGUUAGGUUUAUCACCCGCUGCUUCACGUCGUCAGCUGGAAGAGUUCGCUGGAUGGCCUUCUCAAAGACUACGUUGAAUGCCUAGCCAGAAAUGGUUAGAGAUGGGUACCUCGAUUGUUGUUUUCAAUAAAACACUCAGAAUUGUAGCAACAA